rnacentral:lncRNA from 1 species
GACAUGGUUUAGAGAGUUUUGAUAGUUGAGAUAACUUCUUGCUGCUUGCUGCAUAAGAGGGAUGACAUAAAUAUAUAGGGUUGAAGUUUCUUCUAUCGAGCAUUAUGUUAUAUUAUAUUAUAUAUAUAAAUAUUAUAAAAAGAUUAUUCACAUGUGAAAUGUAGUUAAGAGAAUAUGCGAAGGUUUUUUUUUUAGCCCCACAUACAGGUUUAAUCUUUUGAUUUUAUUUUUGCAGGUUUUGGAAUCAUACGGACACAUUCCACUGAGCUUUACAUAUUUUAAUUGGCGUCCCAGUGAGGAUUGGUGGCUUGUGUGAAAGUGACACGUGGUGGCUAUCUUGGCAAAUUGCAUCUGUAAAUGCUGCUGGGGACCCAGUGGCCUGAGAAGCAGCCAUGAAGGUUCCGAUAAUACGUUUGUGGAGAUGUAAUUUUAGAGGGAUGGGCAUCUCUUUUGAUCUCUUCUUUUUCUAAAUUUUUUGUUUUCAUAUAUGCAGCUUAAAGUGAUAGACAUGCCAGAUCUUUUUUGAGUCAGACUCAACUCAACGUGAUUUUCCCUGUGAGUUAUUGCUCUUUCAUUUCAUGUUAGUGCUUGCAACUUCUAGUCCGUUUUCAGCUUGUUCAAUUUUCUGUUGCAUGACAAGUUAUUGCAGGGUCCCAUAUAAAGGAACGAGAUUGAUUGGUACUACUCGUAUAUAUAAAUGUUUUUGAUAUAAUUUUUGUUCCAACUAAAUUAGAAUGUUCCCACUAAUUUUAAUUAAAGUUUAUUAAUAAUAACUUCAAUAAUUAAAAAGGAAAUUAGCUAACACCAAUUAAUCUUGAAAAACUGUAAGCCACUUUGGUUUUAAGCCUAUCUGUCAUUCUCAGUUACUAUUAACUCUCAUAUUCGUAUCUUUAGUACACAAUACAACACAGCCAUCUGCAGCUGCCUGCUCCUUUUCAUUUUUGAACCUGUCAAUGACCGUGAAAUUAACAUUAAAGAAAGCCAUUUCCCUCUCCCUUUUAGAUCUCUUAUUUUGUUUUCUUUGCACGCCGUGAUCUUUUCCUGAUUGCAAAUCUAAGUAUAAUCCAAAUAAAUUAAUUAAUAUGCUCCUCUCCUUCUGCCUCCAAAUUAACUAAUUUUCUUUUCCAGAUAGUUUGUUGUUUAAUUGGAAUCUUUUUGCUUUUAUGAAAAAUCAUAAGGGUACUCUUUUUUUAAUGAAAUAUCAAGUGGGUGCUUUUUUUCUUUCUUUUUUUUAAAUAUUAAAUGGGUUCUUCAUGGUAAUGUGGAAAGAAUUACGAGGUUGAUUUCUUGAUCUACUUUUGUGUCCUGUAGUUUUGCCUUCAAAACCCACCUGUACAACAUGUACAAAAAGUUGAGACAGCAAGUUCAUAAUAAUAUAGGUACUGUUUUUAUUUUCAGAGAAUUAAUUAAGUUUAAUAAGAUCUCAGAGGGAGUUUGCUCCUUUUUUUUUUUUAAAAAAAAAAAAUUAUAAAAUUAAAAAAAUGCUUCACUUUAUGGUUUUGCGCUAAGUGUCGGUUGAAAUUUGUAUCUUCUUGGUAAGCUGGAUUUCACUAUAUAAUUGUUGUGUCUUUAUAUGCUGAUCUGGGAUAAAUAAAGAAUAUUCCUUGUUGUAGAAUAUCAUACAAAUAUGAAUGUCGUGCAUGUGCGAUACUCCCAUUGAGGUUGUUGUUCAUCACUUAAAUUUACUUAUGAUUAUAUUCUCAUGAUUAAGGACUUAGAAAAUUGGAAGGAUAGAGCACUAUAAAAGCAAUCUAUUCCUACUUUAGAUAUUUACGCUGUUUAAUUUCAUUUCCAUUUUAUUUCUAGUAAUUUUUGAUUAUAAAUUAUAUCAAAUAUGUAUAGCUUUUACUAAAUUAAAUAUUAGUAUUUACUGUACAGAACAUGUAUUCUCAAAAGAGCCGCAAGUGAAACAAUAUUCUUCAUAUGUAUUAUUAUCAACACUAUUUUUUUUUUUUUUAAUUUUUAUUGUCCUUCAAAGUUCUACUUAUCGAGAGUGUGAGUUAUUAUUGAAUCCUGCUCGCACAUUAAAAGAGAGAGAGAAAAGAAAAACCUUUUGCUCCCAUUAUGAAAUCCACGCUGCCUCCUUUAGAACAAAAGAAAAAGAAUGAUAAGGGUACAUCACCACCAAUUCUCCAUUGUACAUCAUUACAGUGCUCGAGAUGAAAAUAACUGAAAGCUGUAACUCAAGAGACAUGGGAGUGCAUUAUGAGAAUUAGCAAAAAGGUUGAAUAUCUGCUUCACAAGAACAUUAUGAAAUGCUUUUUAGAGGUAGUGAAAAAUAAUUGAAAGAAACUUUAUGAAAAGCAAAUUUCCUUACAUAAUAAAAGCUUUUUAUGGAUAACUUGUCCAAACAUAUGGUGAAAAAUGUGCUUAUAUCUGUGUGGAAAUCCUGCAGAAAAUGUGGAAGCAGCAUCUUUUCUCUGGAUAAAGAAGCAUAUUGGUGUACACUGGCAGGUAGCUAAUGACUCUGAAUUGUUUAACAUUAAGGUUUAAACAGACAGAAAGAAGUUUUAGGAAAAGUAAUGAUGAGAAGUUAGUAAAGAGAGAAAUUCUUAUCAAAUUAGUAUUGAUGGAUGGUGGGAGUUGUAAAGUGGUCAGGGUAAAGAUAUACCUAAAACACAAAGGCUAGAUACAUAGCAUAUAACAGCAAUAAAGAUCAGUAGCUGAAACUUUUGUGUGACGUGAAAUAGGCUUGCUCUCAAUUAUUGUAACCAAUUGUUGAUAUCCAAAAGAAUACAAAGGAAAAGAAUAUAGGACAACAGAAAGUAGCUUUUCUAGUGUACUGCUUCACAUCAUUGCUGCAUGUUACUUGAUCCGGAUUGGAGUUUUCUACAAGCAGCCUAAAGGGUUAGCAUUUACUAUUGCUCCUUGUUUGGAUAUAUUAACAAAGUUCAUUUUUUUUUGGGUGAUGAGGAAUCUUCUUCCGUUCUUUUGAUGUUAAAACACAAUCUUGAUUUUUGAGGUGCCUUCUUUAAUUCUCCAUUGAACAUUGAAGUUCAAACACCUAUCAAAAGUAUUAUUAAUAUGUGACUUGUAUAGUAUAUCUUGGACUAUCACAAUCUUCAUCUCUUAAACUUUGAUGUUCUGAUCAAGCAAUUCCUAUAAGAUCCAAGAUCUUUAGUGCUACAAGUUGUAAUGCUUGCUUCCAAUAAUUACUGAUUUAAUAACUUUUUAAAUUCAAAUAACUGAUUUUCAGAAAGUAAAAUUUAAACUAUCAGUAGUGUAUGAUUUGAACAUAUAUAUGAAGUUCAAUAAUAACAUAUAUUUCUGAUGUGAGAUUAGGGUACCUCAGGAAUUUUGUCAAACAUCCUUCAAUUACUUUUGAUACUGAUUUUUACAAAGACAAAAGAUAUACAAGGGUUUCAUCCAUCUUUUUUGUUUUCCGUGCCUUGUCAACAAUAUUAAUCUAGCUAAGGAAAGGUUCAUAAUUGAUUGAAGUAUUUUGUCUGCAUAGCAAUUUCAAGUACUGCUCAUGGAUGGAGCAUUGGAAUUUUGUAUUUGAAUAAUACAUACCUUUUAGUAAUGGUCUCCUCAAGCAUUAGUCUUCCCAGGAAAUUCUAGACACUAAUUAUGAUAUUGGGCGGCUCAACUUUUUUGAUCCAACUAAUUACAUAGUUUUGUUUAAUGGAUUUCCAAUAGAAAUUCAAAGUCAAAUGAGACAUAAAUAAAUUCAUUUUCCAACUUUGUUGGCAAGUCAGGUGGUGCUAUUCGAAGGAACUAUAGGGAGAGAAUAUAAAAUUAUAGUGCAUGUUAGCAAAGAAGCAACCUGAACUGGAGUUGAAAGUGCAAUAAAUGGAAACAGAGGAUAAGUGGAGACCCGAGGUCAUUGCACUUAGUAUGAAAUUAGUUAAAAUAAUCAUUAUAUUGUGGCUAAACAUUGCAUGUAACUUUAUUAUACAUGGAUCCGCAUAAUGGAGAGGUAGGAUAAGUUACGAAUUUUUGACAAGUAAUGAAGCAAUUCCUCCAAAGCAAAAAUUUUUAUAAUCCCCUGAAUUAGUUUUGCUACACACACACACCUUCAGAAAAUCUUUUCUUCUUUGUUUGUAGAAGUUUAUCUAAUCUAUGAGUUACAUGAGUGGAGAUAUUUCUGUAUUCUAUAGAAGCCUUUUUUAACAGAGCAUAUAAAGUUAACACCGAGUGGAGAUAUUCUGUAUAAUCUGGGCUUCGAGUGAUAAGUUGAGCUUAGCCCCGUCUUUGUAUCCAAACCCCAGUAUUCUUCCUUUAGCUUGAUUUUCCUUUAUAAACGUAUGUAUUGGAUGUUUUUGUUGACUUAAAAUAGUGCAAAAUAUAUAAGCAUUCAAAUUUCUUACCUUUAACUUUUAGACCUUGUGACCGUACUGUUCUCUAGAGAUAAACGUUCCGCAUUCUAAAUCUGAAGAUUGUUUAUUUUUCCAACCUCUUGGUUUAUGCUUAUUCUGAUAAGAGGAAAGCACGCACUUAUAUUUGUAUCUUAAAUGUUCAAUCUUCUUGAAGGUGUGACAUAUACAGAAAAAAUUAAGCUUGAAAGUAUGGUUAAUUUUCUCAUAAUAUCUGAAAAGUAACAGUCCUUCCAAAUUUUAUUGGCUCGGAAAUAUCUGAACCAUUUAGAUUUUUCUUUAAAAGGGUUCUCUAGAUAUUCCACAUUCAAGAGCUGCUUCAUUGAAAUGUCUUUUUCUAAUUCCUUGGUUGCAACGUGUUCAAAGUUGAUCUGUGUGCGUGUGUGUGCCGGGUCUUUUUCUUGACUGCACAAUGUCAGAUUUAGGAUUUUGUGCACCAAUUAAGAAUCACAUUCAAGUGGAGCAAAAGAGAAUAAGCCCUUGAUCAAGUCAAACAACAACUUAUAGCAGUGCCUCAGUAGGAGACCACUGCUGUGUGGCAGUUACUUUUCAUGCUUGUAUUAAUCAAGUUAAAAAGCAAGAGAAUUACCCUUGAAACUCAUCUGGGUUGAGGUUUAUAUUUGAUCGACGUACUAUCUAAUAGGGUCAAAGGUAGAAUAUACGGUAAGGUGAUACCAUAUUAGAUUUUAUCAUAAAAUCUAAAAGUUAGAUUUGGUUCUUUAAGAAUAAAUAAAUUGCCCCUGGAGCAAAACAAAAGCAUGUCAAUCCUACCUGUAAGCCACAAUUUUCUGAUACAAACCAAUAAGCUUAGGCUUAAAGAGGUGCUUUUUAAAUUAAUUAAUCUCAUUUUAAGCUACUCAAAUGAAGCCUUUAUUUCCACCCUAUCAAUAAGCAGCCAAUAGAAAUAGACAAACAGUAAAAAAAAAAAGGAAAAGGUAUAUGGUCCCCCUUGUGAAUCAUUCUUUUCAUCAAACCAGGCUGUGUUCUUUCUGCCAAGCAAAUAUUCAAGAUAAUCCAUCUGCUGUACAUACAUACUUAGCUUUUGCUUGUGGUUCCUAAUUAAAGCAGCAUUAUAUAUUUGAUCAAGUGACAUCAAAGUAUCAACUCACUGAUUUUCACAAGUAAUUAAGAGUUAAAAAGAUAGAUAUCAAUCUUUUUGGAUUCUAACUAAAGUUACUACUAAAGUACUAAUUGGCUUCUGAGAACUAAUACAUCGGAUAAAGAUUUGGAGAAAGCAUUGAAAAAGAAGAAUUUGUCAUCAAAUUAAGCAACUGGGUCUGCAUGCAUGUUUUAAAAAAAUCCAGCACUGCUAAAUUUGUCUUAUAUAUUUAUUUAUAAUUGCAAGAGAUUAGACAAGUUAUGCUUAAUUGAUGGUUUGAUCCUUAUCCUUUUGACUAAAGAAUGUUUCCUACAACUGUGUAAUGAGAAUAUGCUAUAGGAAAUUAUGAAAUCCACUUAUGAAAAAUCUUGCUGUAGAUAUUCAUUUAUGUCGAUAAGGUGUUGUGGUUUAAAUUUUAUUGUAUGGUAAAUUUUCAUAGAAAAUUUAUGGUUAGUAUAAUUUGGAUUAUCUAUGGAAAAGAUGUUUAGAAGAUUUGCAUGAAUUAUGAAGUGACAACACUCGGCUAAGGACAUUAAAGAGAGUGAAGAAAAUAAACAAAGCCUAAAUAGCCAUUCCACUCAUAGAACAGGGGAUGCUCACUGUUUGCUACCUAAUUUCUUUUUCAGUCUUAUUUUGGUAUAAAAAUUAUAUUUAAUCCCUGUUUUUUAAUUGUGGGUUUAUUUCGAUAGUUACUUCAAAAUAAUAUCAUACCCUGUUAAGACCUGUCUUAGUUUUACAUUUAUUAGUUAAAAUUUAUACAUCGGAAUAACUAACUAUAUAACUUUCUGCAGAAUUAGUAUCAAUACAAUCAAUUUUUUAAUAAAGAAACAACACAGUUAUAUAUAUAUAUAUAUAAAACAUACAGUUAAACUCGAACCCUUUUAACUGUUACUUAGAUAUUAUUUUACCUCUCUUGUAAUAGUAGACCCAAAUGAUCGAACUAAGUAAUUGUUUUCUGAAAAGUGUGAUUAAUUAACUUAGUGAUACAAUAUGACCUUUAAGACAUGUUGGAUAAAAUUGAGAAAACCAAUAAUUAAGCUUUGAUAUUUACAUAGACUAUACAUAUGUUAGUGGAUUAGAAUUUGAUAAUCAAGAAUGAAUUAUCAUUGAAAAUUUAAUUAUAUUUCCUAUUUUUCUAUACACUUGCAGUUUCCCAUCUCUUCAGCAGUCAACAAAUCAAACACCUCAAAACUCUUGACUAAAUUUUCUGUGUUGCCACUCCCCAAUCUCUCCUGCUCCACCG